GCCGGGCACGGUGGCUCAAGCCUGUAAUCCCAGCACUUUGGGAGGCCGAGACAGGCGGAUCAUGAGGUCAAGAGAUUGAGACCAUCCUGGCUGACACGGUGAAACCCCGUCUCUACUAAAAAAUACAAAAAACUAGCCGGGUGAGGUGGCGGGGGGCUGUAGUCCCNNNNNNNNNNGGACUACAGGCGCCCACCACCUCACCCGGCUAGUUUUUUGUAUUUUUUAGUAGAGACGGGGUUUCACCGUGUCAGCCAGGAUGGUCUCGAUCUCCUGACCUCAUGAUCCACCUGUCUC
rnacentral:SRP_RNA from 1 species